rnacentral:tRNA from 1 species
UAUCUAAAUAGUUUAAAAAAAAUAUUGAUUUGUGGAGUCAAAGUUAUAAAAAUUUAUUUUAGAUAA